CAAGCGGGCAACCGCUUGUUCGCGGACCGACGUCUUCGACGUCUUCGAACGAGCAUGAGAGUUGAGCGCGUCGAGCGUCUCAAUUUAAGACGAUGAAGUCGACGCUGCCUGGCGGGAUGGCAGCAAUGAAUGACUGCAAGCGUCCAAGGCGCGCGCGCGACGCGGGAUCGUGCGCGAUGAUUGUACCGACCCUCAGACGGACGUGGCACCGGGAAUGACCCGGUGCCGCAAUGUGCGUUCGAAAUGUCGAUGUUCAAUGUGUCCUGCAAUUCACAUUAAAUAACGCAUCUGGCUGCGUUCUUCAUCGACACACGGGCCGAGUGAUCCACCGCUCAGAGUUCACUGGCCGUAAUGGCCACAUCU